UGGCAUUAAAUCUCACACUUCAGAGUAUGUGGUAGAUUCUCUGCCCCUCCUUCCCACUUAGAACAUGUUGUAAACUGUGUCUACUUUGACUCACUGGAAGACCACAUGGAAGUGCAUGCAACGUUCAGGAAAUCAAGAAGAGCCCACGCCGAGGCUGUGGCAAAGGCGAAGGCAGAGGAGGCGGCUGCUUGGUGGUGAUCUCGGCCGACGGCCCCUUGUCGGCGACCCAGAUGGUGACACCACCUUGGUGGCGGGUCCGAUGGCCUUGGCAAUGGACUCCACGUCCUAGAAUGCCGAUUCCACCGCGUUCAGCCGCUUCGACUCCUCCGGCGAAAUGAUCUGCGGACAUCAAAUUACGGCCUUCUCAACGUGCCAAGAACGAACUAGCGGGCUUAGCUUAUAGUAAUCUUAACGUGCAACCCUUACAAG
rnacentral:lncRNA from 1 species